rnacentral:rRNA from 1 species
UACAGAGGGUGCAAGCGUUGUUCGGAAUUAUUGGGCGUAAAGGGUGCGUAGGCGGUGCGGUAAGUCUGUAGUGAAAUCUCUGGGCUCAACUCAGAGUCUGCUAUAGAAACUGCCGUGCUUGAGUGUGGGAGAGGUGAGUGGAAUUCCCGGUGUAGCGGUGAAAUGCGCAGAGAUCGGAAAGAACACCAACGGCGAAAGCACUCUGCUGGGCCGACACUGACACUGAGAGACGAAAGCUAGGGGAGCGAAUGGG